rnacentral:misc_RNA from 1 species
GAUGAAGAACGUAGCGAAAUGCGAUACGUAAUGUGAAUUGCAGAUCUCUCAGUGAACCAUCGAAUUUUUGAACGCACAUAGCGCCCGCCAGUAUUCUGGCGGGCAUGCCUGUCCGAGCGUCAUUUCAACCAUCAAGCCCCGGGCUUGUGUUGGGGACCUGCGUCCGACGCAGGCCCUGAAAACCAGUGGCGGGCUCGCUGUCCACACCGAGCGUAGUAACUAACCUCGCUAUGGAGUGGCGCGGGCGCCUGCCGUAAAACCCCCAAUUUCACAAGGUUGACCUCGGAUCAGGUAGGAAUACCCGCUGAACUUAAGCAUAUCAAUAAGCGGAGGA